GGGAGUAUAGCUCAGCUGGGAUGAGCAUCUGCCUUACAAGCAGAGGGUCACAGGUUCGAGCCCUGUUACUCCCACCA
rnacentral:tRNA from 1 species